rnacentral:rRNA from 1 species
GAUGAACGCUGGCGGCGUGCCUAAUACAUGCAAGUCGAGCGAACGGACGAGAAGCUUGCUUCUCUGAUGUUAGCGGCGGACGGGUGAGUAACACGUGGAUAACCUACCUAUAAGACUGGGAUAACUUCGGGAAACCGGAGCUAAUACCGGAUAAUAUUUUGAACCGCAUGGUUCAAAAGUGAAAGACGGUCUUGCUGUCACUUAUAGAUGGAUCCGCGCUGCAUUAGCUAGUUGGUAAGGUAACGGCUUACCAAGGCAACGAUGCAUAGCCGACCUGAGAGGGUGAUCGGCCACACUGGAACUGAGACACGGUCCAGACUCCUACGGGAGGCAGCAGUAGGGAAUCUUCCGCAAAGGGCGAAAGCCUGACGGAGCAACGCCGCGUGAGUGAUGUAGGUCUUCGGAUCGUAAAACUCUGUUAUUAGGGAAGAACAUAUGUGUAAGUAACUGUGCACAUCUUGACGGUACCUAAUCAGAAAGCCACGGCUAACUACGUG